CGAUACAUAGGGGGACUGAGAGGUUAACCCCCCACACUGGUACUGAGACACGGACCAGACUCCUACGGGAGGCAGCAGUGAGGAAUAUUGGUCAAUGGACGCAAGUCUGAACCAGCCAUGCCGCGUGCAGGAUGACGGCUCUAUGAGUUGUAAACUGCUUUUGUACGAGGGUAAACGCAGAUACGUGUAUCUGUCUGAAAGUAUCGUACGAAUAAGGAUCGGCUAACUCCGUGCCAGCAGCCGCGGUAAUACGGAGGAUUCAAGCGUUAUCCGGAUUUAUUGGGUUUAAAGGGUGCGUAGGCGGUUUGAUAAGUUAGAGGUGAAAUUUCGGGGCUCAACCCUGAACGUGCCUCUAAUACUGUUGAGCUAGAGAGUAGUUGCGGUAGGCGGAAUGUAUGGUGUAGCGGUGAAAUGCUUAGAGAUCAUACAGAACACCGAUUGCGAAGGCAGCUUACCAAACUAUAUCUGACGUUGAGGCACGAAAGCGUGGGGAGCAAACAGGAUUAGAUACCCUGGUAGUCCACGCAGUAAACGAUGAUAACUCGUUGUCGGCGAUACACAGUCGGUGACUAAGCGAAAGCGAUAAGUUAUCCACCUGGGGAGUACGUUCGCAAGAAUGAAACUCAAAGGAAUUGACGGGGGCCCGCACAAGCGGAGGAACAUGUGGUUUAAUUCGAUGAUACGCGAGGAACCUUACCCGGGCUUGAAAGUUAGCGACGAUUCUUGAAAGAGGAUUUCCCUUCGGGGCGCGAAACUAGGUGCUGCAUGGUUGUCGUCAGCUCGUGCCGUGAGGUGUCGGGUUAAGUCCCAUAACGAGCGCAACCCCUACCGUUAGUUGCCAUCAGGUGAAGCUGGGCACUCUGGCGGGACUGCCGGUGUAAGCCGAGAGGAAGGUGGGGAUGACGUCAAAUCAGCACGGCCCUUACGUCCGGGGCUACACA
rnacentral:rRNA from 1 species